AGAGUUUGAUCCUGGCUCAGGAUCAACGCUGGCGGCGUGCCUAAUGCAUGCAAGUCGAACGCGCGGCCUUCGGGCUGGCGCGUGGCGAACGGCUGAGGAACACGUGCGUACCUACCUUUUCGCGGGGAAUACCGGCUGGAAACAGCCGACAAUACCGCGUACGCUCCUUCGGGAGGAAAGCCUUCGGGCGCGGAAAGACGGGCGCGCGGCCCAUCAGGUCGAUGGCGGGGUAAUGGCCCACCAUGCCAAUGACGGGUCGCUGGUCUGAGAGGAUGACCAGCCAGACUGGGACUGCGACACGGCCCAGACACCUACGGGUGGCAGCAGCAAGGAAUCUUCCCCAAUGGACGCAAGUCUGAGGGAGCAACGCCGCGUGGAGGACGACGGCCUUCGGGUUGUAAACUCCUUUUCUGUGGGAUGAAACGGACAGUACCACAGGAAUCAGCCCCGGCUAACUCUGUGCCAGCAGCCGCGGUAAGACAGAGGGGGCAAGCGUUGUCCGGAUUUACUGGGCGUACAGCGCGCGCAGGCGGAUGGGUAUGUGCCCUAUGACAGCUGGACGCUCAACGUCCAGUGGUUAGGGUAGACAGCCUGUCUGGAGGCAAGGAGAGGGUAGUGGAAUUCCCGGUGGAGCGGUGAAAUGCGUAGAGAUCGGGAGGAACACCAGCGGCAGACGGCUACCUGGCCUUGACCUGACGCUGAGGCGCGAUAGCGUGGGGAGCAAACGGGAUUAGAUACCCUAGUAGUCC
rnacentral:rRNA from 1 species